rnacentral:tRNA from 1 species
GCUUAGUGGUUAAGAGCACUGGUUGUUCUUCCAGAGGACCUGGGUUCAAUUCCCAG